GCUCAGGAUGAACGCUGGCGGCGUGCCUAAUACAUGCAAGUCGAACGAGUUCUGAUUAUUGAAAGGUGNACUUGCAUCUUGAUUUAAUUUUGAACGAGUGGCGGACGGGUGAGUAACACGUGGGUAACCUGCCCUUAAGUGGGGGAUAACAUUUGGAAACAGAUGCUAAUACCGCAUAAAUCCAAGAACCGCAUGGUUCUUGGCUGAAAGAUGGCGUAAGCUAUCGCUUUUGGAUGGACCCGCGGCGUAUUAGCUAGUUGGUGAGGUAACGGCUCACCAAGGCAAUGAUACGUAGCCGAACUGAGAGGUUGAUCGGCCACAUUGGGACUGAGACACGGCCCAAACUCCUACGGGAGGCAGCAGUAGGGAAUCUUCCACAAUGGACGCAAGUCUGAUGGAGCAACGCCGCGUGAGUGAAGAAGGCUUUCGGGUCGUAAAACUCUGUUGUUGGAGAAGAAUGGUCGGCAGAGUAACUGUUGUCGGCGUGACGGUAUCCAACCAGAAAGCCACGGCUAACUACGUGCCAGCAGCCGCGGUAAUACGUAGGUGGCAAGCGUUAUCCGGAUUUAUUGGGCGUAAAGCGAGCGCAGGCGGUUUUUUAAGUCUGAUGUGAAAGCCCUCGGCUUAACCGAGGAAGUGCAUCGGAAACUGGGAAACUUGAGUGCAGAAGAGGACAGUGGAACUCCAUGUGUAGCGGUGAAAUGCGUAGAUAUAUGGAAGAACACCAGUGGCGAAGGCGGCUGUCUGGUCUGUAACUGACGCUGAGGCUCGAAAGCAUGGGUAGCGAAC
rnacentral:rRNA from 2 species